UCGCCAUGGGCCGCCCCGAAGGGAAGAGACCACAUGACCCAGGCCACCAGUAUCCAGGCAACCGUUCCAAGACGCUGCUUUUUGUCCACUCUGGCUUCUGCCUUAUUCAAUAUCUGCCAAGCAGACAAGGCUCCUGGGAGCAUCCCUGAAGUAAUCGUGAGAAACAAGGCUUGCUGGGGAGGCCUAUCUGCUGUGAUUGUUCCUUUUCACAAACCACAAUGACUCUGGAGAACCUGGCUGUAAACACCAGCACUGCCACCAGCUAAGGAUCUGUGAUCAGGAGUGCCAUGUCACGGUGACAGGGCUGGGUCCUGGGGACAGUGGAAAAUAAAGAAGACCCAGUUGGUACCUGCCAUCCUGGAACUUGGAGUCCAGUGAGGACAAUGGAUGAUCCACAAGCAGUUCACACAAAACAUUUCUAUUGAAUUGAUGAAAGCUAUGAUGAACUCAGCCAAUGCAAAAACAAGAUACAAAGGCUGGAGAAGAGCUAAGGGAAAGGAGCGGCUUUGCCAGGUGAGCUGGAGAGAGUGGGGGAUUACGGGGAAACAAAUGCAGUCAAAAGGGAAACAGCAAGAGAAAGUCCACUCAGCUGCCCCAAAAUAUGCUCUCACCUCGGACCCAUACUGGUCCUUCAAAUGCAUUUUUGUGUGAAGGGGUAUUGGGUGCACCCAGAAGAUGCACAGCAGGGCAGUCUUGUGUAUUUGCCUGUGUGGGAGAAAGAGAGAGUAUCUUAAUAGAAAGC
rnacentral:lncRNA from 1 species